UCAAGUCAGCAUGACCUUUAUAUCCAGGGCUACACACACGCUACAAUGGUCUGUACAAUGGGUAGCCAAGCCGCGAGGCGGAGCCAAUCCUGAAAGCAGGCCUCAGUUCAGAUUGCAGUCUGCAACUCGACUGCAUGAAGCCGGAGUUGCUAGUAACCGCAGGUCAGCAAUACUGCGGUGAAUACGUUCCCGGGUCCGUU
rnacentral:rRNA from 1 species